GAUCCGGUGGCCUAAAAGUGGUUAGAGCGUCUACCUCUGAUGCGGGAGGUCUCGGGUUCUAACCCGAACCGAGUCA